rnacentral:rRNA from 1 species
AUGAAACUCUUAGUGUGGAACUCCCAGGGUCUUGGGAACGCCCCGGCAGUACGUGCUCUGCUGGAUGUGCAGCGGAGAUGCAACCCCGAGGUGAUGUUUUUGUCAGAGACGCACCUUGACCACUAUCCGGCGGAAUGUCUGCGAAGAAGACUGAAGAUGGAUAAGAAACUAGUCUGCCCUAGUGAUGGUAGGAGAGGAGGUUUAAUUCUGUUUUGGAAUAAUAAUGUAAAACUACAUAGGAUAGCUCUUGAUCCUAUGUUCAUCGAUGUAAAGAUCGAAAGAAAUAAUAAUGAUUUUUGGCGCUUGACUGGGAUGUAUGCCGAGUUUAGAUGGGAAAAUAAACAUAUGACAUGGAGCCGUAUAAGACAACUGAAGCAAAGUCAGAACCUUCCAUGGCUACUGAUCGGAGACCUGAAGAAAUUCUUUAUCUCCAUGAGAAGGAGGGUGGAAACCCAAGGCCUAUACAGUACAUGCAAGUGUUUCAAGACAUAA